GCACUCGCUUCGGCAGCACAUAUACUAAAACUGGAACAGUACAGAGACUGGCAUGGCCCUGUGCAAGGAUGACACGCAAAUUCGUGAAGUGUUUCAUAUUUAA